GAAAACACCAUGAAAACAUCCAAGAAGAGCAUAACCUCACCUUUGACUACCAAGAGAGCUUCCAACACCCUCCAUGGCCGGUCAAAGGGGCUUAAAUAGGUGGCCAACCGCCUUUCCUUCGGCUGCCGAAACUGCAUGCAAAACCAUGCAACAUUCGGCGGCCUAACGUGAAGUUUCGGAAGCCGAACCUCUAGCACUUUCGGCGGCCGAACUUUCCCUUCGGCGGCCGAACCUGCAUUUUUGCCUCCUUGGUCUUUUCUUUUCAAAAUUCAUUUCCUUUCCUUUCAAAACCAUAAAACCAUAAAACACUUCAAACCAUGUGCGAAAACCUUUAGAAAACCUUCAGGUUACCCUUGCAAUACCCCUCAAAACGAAUCCGACAUUCGAAAUUCCACCGGACGGUAGGAAUUCCGAUGCCUGACCGAGCCGGGUAUUACAAUCUACCCCCCUUAUAAAAACAUUCGUCCCCGAAUGUUAAAACAACAAAUACACAAGCAAACAAGCAAACGAAACUUAACGUCGCUCUCGAACUGUCCAAGCUUCCACUGCGCACUCUGAUCCUUGCCCUUCUCUCUUCAUUUGUCCUCCACUGGCUUCGUCUUUAACUCGCAACAGGCUUCUGCUGCGCUACUCUGAUCCUUCUUCUUUUUUUCCUCCUUCUCUACUCUUACUCUUCUUUGCUCUCUUCUUGCCUCUGUACCCUCCUAAGCUCACGGAUUCAUCCUUCUUUUCUCACAUCACACUGGACCAUUCAUCCUUGGCUCUCUAGCACACCACUACUCCUACGCGCCCUUACGCAUGCUCACAACUCCGCAGGUGCCAUCUUGUGAGGAAAGAUAGAAAUGGUACUGGUACUGCGUACCACUUCGAUACCAACUCUACCUCCCUGCCUGAUGGGAAACCUGACACUAGCCUACAAACACGUCUAACCACUCUCACACUAUGAUAUUAAGGCUGGUUCCCAAACCUGCUUGCUACCCGCUCAAACCUGAACAAGAACUCACUUUAACAACCAUGCCUAAACACCCUACGAGCCUGACAGCUGACAUGAAACUUCUAGGCAUUCUACUGGGUCCCCUCUGACACCUAUCUCGGAUUCAUCAGGAACUCCGUUCCUGACUACCUUGCGCUGCAGACGCAGGUAACCCCAGCAUCAGAAAGAGAAAACCAAACCAUCCCC
rnacentral:lncRNA from 1 species